CUACGGGAGGCAGCAGUGGGGAAUCUUGCGCAAUGGGCGAAAGCCUGACGCAGCAACGCCGCGUGGGGGACGAAGGCUCUCGGGUCGUAAACCCCUUUCAGGAGGGACGAAAAUGACGGUACCUCCAGAAGAAGCCCCGGCCAACUACGUGCCAGCAGCCGCGGUAACACGUAGGGGGCGAGCGUUGUCCGGAUUUAUUGGGCGUAAAGAGCUCGUAGGCGGCUUGGUAAGUCGGGUGUGAAAUUUCGAGGCUCAACCUCGAACUGCCAUCCGAUACUGCUAUGGCUAGAAUCCGGUAGAGGAGUGUGGAAUUCCUGGUGUAGCGGUGAAAUGCGCAGAUAUCAGGAGGAACACCAACGGCGAAGGCAGCACUCUGGGCCGGUAUUGACGCUGAGGAGCGAAAGCAUGGGGAGCAGACAGGAUUAGAUACCCGAGUAGUCC
rnacentral:rRNA from 1 species